GACGAACGCUGGCGGCGUGCUUAACACAUGCAAGUCGAACGGAAAGGCCCUGCUUUUGUGGGGUGCUCGAGUGGCGAACGGGUGAGUAACACGUGAGUAACCUGCCCUUGACUUUGGGAUAACUUCAGGAAACUGGGGCUAAUACCGGAUAGGAGCUCCUGCUGCAUGGUGGGGGUUGGAAAGUUUCGGCGGUUGGGGAUGGACUCGCGGCUUAUCAGCUUAUUGGUGGGGUAGUGGCUUACCAAGGCUUUGACGGGUAGCCGGCCUGAGAGGGUGACCGGCCACAUUGGGACUGAGAUAAGGCCCAGACUCCUACGGGAGGCAGCAGUGGGGAAUAUUGCACAAUGGGCGGAAGCCUGAUGCAGCAACGCCGCGUGCGGGAUGACGGCCUUCGGGUUGUAAACUGCUUUCGCCUGUGACGAAGCGUGAGUGACGGUAAUGGGUAAAGAAGCACCGGCUAACUACGUG
rnacentral:rRNA from 1 species